CAUUAGGAGAGCAAGCUGAAUAGUAUAAAAGUUGAACAGUGAAAAUAGCACAAAGUAUGCAGGAGAAGAAGCACGGCAAAAUUUACAGAGCAACCAGAAAAUUAAAGAAAUAAUCAUAAAGGGAAACAGAAAC